rnacentral:rRNA from 1 species
GAUGAACGCUAGCGGCAGGCCUAAUACAUGCAAGACGAACGGUAAGUUGAGUAGCAAUACUUAGCCAAGAGUGUCGUACGGGUGCGUAACACGUAUGCAACCUACCCUAUACAGGAGGAUAGCCUAGGGAAACCUGGAUUAACCCUUCAUAGUAUUAUUGGAUGGCAUCAUUUGAUAAUUAAAACUGAGGUGGUAUAGGAUGGGCAUGCGUCUGAUUAGUUAGUUGGCGGGGUAAUGGCCCACCAAGACGAUGAUCAGUAGGGGUUCUGAGAGGAAGAUCCCCCACACUGGCACUGAGAUACGGGCCAGACUCCUACGGGAGGCAGCAGUAGGGAAUAUUGGUCAAUGGAUGCAAGUCUGAACCAGCCAUGCCGCGUGCAGGAAGAAGGCCUUCUGGGUUGUAAACUGCUUUUUGCCAGGGGAUAAAAUUUCCAUGCGUGGAAAACUGAAGGUACCUGGUGAAUAAGCCACGGCUAACUACGUGCCAGCAGCCGCGGUAAAU